AUGGGAGGCAAGCUGAGCAAGAGGAAGAAGGGGUACGAUGUCAGCGACCCAAAGGACAAGAAGGAGGAGAUUACUGUGGCUGCUGUGAGUGCCGUUGAGGCCAUGGCCCAUGCCGUGGAGAGCAAAGCACCAGCUCCGGUCGCUGAGUUGGCAGCGAAGGAUGCUCCUAAGGUGUCUGCUGCGGUAGAGGGAGCAGUGGAGUCGGCAGCGGUAACCAUCAAAGAUGUGACAGAAGAGGCCCUGUCAGCUAUAGAUGCUGUGGCCAAGGGGGCCACCGCAGAGCCAGCAACUGUACCAGAUGAACCUGUGGCAGCAAUGGCAGAAUCAGCGCCAACAGCAGAAAAACCAGUAGCUUCAGAAGAACCAGCUGCAGCACCAGAGGAGGCCAGCGCUGGGCCACAGGAUGCUGUGCUGGACAACAGGGAAGAUGUUUCCGCAGAGGAGGCUACUGCUGAGCCUUCUGCCCCUGAGGUCAAUGGGGAGUGUCAGGAGCAGGCAGCCAAGCUAGCUGCCGUGUCUGCCCCGGAGCCACAGCAAAAGGAAUGUGUCAACGGCAUUGACAAGCCAGAGGAUGCCGUUGAAGUGCAAAUUGACUGUGAAUUAAAAAAGGACUUGAACCUGACUGGCGACAUCCAGAUUCCUGAGGCAAUCGGUGAGGCAAUAAGUCAGGCUGUUGACUUGGUCUGAAGCUAAUAUAAAUGUGAAGUCCCUAAUGAUCCGAAAAAACCUCCAACACAAGCUUCUGAAGAUAAAUAUAAAAAUGUCCGUUGUGGCAAAGGAGUAUACAGAUAACUAAAAGGAAAUACAACCACUCAAGUGUAGAGAGGGGGAGUGAGGUACAUGUAGGAAGAGAUGUGAGACAUGGAUGCAGUGUUGAGUCUUUGUGCCCCACACAUCAUUGCAGAGGGGCAGCCUGUGUUUGCAGCAUUUGUGGUGAGAUGAAAGCCAGCAAAAUUUGAGGGAUGAGUAUAGGAAAACCAGGAGAAAAAAAACUGGACAACAGAGAAAAAAAACGUGACAUUGACAUUGGAAAUUUUGAAUGGAAUGAGUAGUCUUGUCUUUGUGUGUGAGCCUGAUGAAUUUUAAAAAUGGUUUAUCGGAAUAGCAUUCAAUAGUGAUCUAAUUUAGACUUUCACAUAUCCUUUCCUUAACUAUAUGAAAAAAUAAUGGAUGAAAAGUUUUGGCCUUUUGUAAUGGUGCAAACAGUAAGGAAUGUUCAUUGAUGGCUUGGAAUGGAGAAUAAAAAAAGACUGUUAUACCUGAUUGUUCUUUUGUUGUUAUGUAUUCUAUAUAAAUUAGGCAAAAGUCAUUUGACACAGGCCCUUAUUGUAUAAUGACAGGUCAUUUUAAUACAUUUUAGCAUGUUACAAUUAUUUCAACUGUAUUUUAAGAUACUUUUAUGAUUGAUUAUAAUAAGUAAACCUAGGUGCAAACAAUGGAGAUCUUUGAAAACUGAAAUUAGUCCAGUGCUUUAUUGUUUUUGGCUGAUAGAUUGAGUGCACCAAUAUCAGCAGUCGGAGACAUUAUCUACAGAACAUGAUUCAUUUCGAACUUCUACAGUUAUGUACAGACCAGGUUUCUUGUGGGUUAGGGGUCGCCUGAUUGUAUUACCUGUAGACCAAUGUCCUCGAGGUCAUUAGCCUUGCAAAUAUUUUGUUUGGUGAAUCUUGGCUUGCCCGUGUGUUUGUUUGAAAAAUCUGACCAUGUUAAUGCAUGCAGACAGAUAAUUUCAUAGGUCGACUCUUCCUCUACCUCUUACAUCAUAAUAGCCCAUCUCACUCGAACUCCAAGCUGUGGUAGGCAGGCAGCACCAUAGAAAUAGAAUGAAUAGAGAGGUCUCGGAAGCUCUGACCCUGGCAAAAGAUGCGGUAAAGAGGUCAAUGGAACUCGACCCAAACAAUGGAAAUGCCAUGGAAACACAUGCGGAAAUAUGCGGGAAAGAUCCCAAAUCUCCUCAUUGCCCCCAGCAAAAUUUGCCUACAUUUAGGCUAAUGUUUGUAUGUGUAUUUCACAAUAUGUUUGGGUAAAAAUCAUAAUAUAAUGCUUGUAUAGAUGUCAACCCCAAAACAUUCUCAUGUCAUCGUCACCAAUCAACAGUACUGCAGUUAAAAGACGACUUUGACUACCACCACCAAUUUCUCUAUGUUACAUGUAGCUAUGCUACCAGCUUAUACGAACAGGAGUUAGCAUUUAGCAGUCACUUCUUCUAAACCGGAAAGGGAACAACUUCUAAAUGUUAUGCAGUGAAAACGGCCAAAUAUAUGAAAAUUGGACUUUAGUAACCACAUUGUGGGCCUGUUACAAUACAUCAAUCAUGAUGGAUUUGACAAAUAUCCACUUUGUUAAAUCAAAUUUGUUGAAUUUGCACCAAUCCGGCAUCAUGCAGAGUUCAACAGAGUUCAAGUGAAGGUCAAGCAAAUCAUAGAAAAAUCAGACUGUAUUGCAAUCAUCUCUGAUGGGUGGUCGAAUGUUUGUGGGCAAGGAAUAAUGAACUACAUCAUCUUCACCCCUCAACCAGUAUUCUACAAGAGCACAGACACAAGGGACAACAGACACACCGGUCUCUACAUUGCAGAUGAGCUGAAGGCAGCCUUCCCUGUAGCUCAGUUGGUAGAGCAUGGUGUUUGCAACGCCAGGGUUGUGGGUUCGAUUCCCACGGGGGGCCAGCACAGGAAAAAAAAAAAAUGGAUGAAAUUGUAUGAAAUGUAUGCAUUCACUACUGUAAGUUGCUCUGGAUAAGAGCGUCUGCUAAAUGACUAAAAUGUAAAUGUACCGCAUCUAUUUGACUGGUAAACUCAUGGGUACACUUGCAAUGGCUGCCUGGUAUUGUGAUACAAUCAUUUCCAAGGUAAUUUGGUACGUUCUGUCAAAUGAUGCUGGAUUGCCAUGGUGAUGUAGAAUGUUCAUUCAAAUGAUGCUAACUGAUGUGGCUCAUACAAUAGAAUGUAUUUUUUGUUUUUGUCAGUUGAGUUGACUUUACAAAUCACAGCAGAUUCAAGGGUACACUUCCUGGCAUGGGUACACUCAAAAUGGCUGCCAGUCCACCCAUUAUACCGUCAUUGACUUGAAUGGGGACCCUGUUCUAUUCAUUCUAUUUCUGUGGGCAGCA
rnacentral:lncRNA from 8 species